AGCCAUUUUACAGAGUGCGUUCGUCUAGCGUCGUAUAGCAGCAGCUCUUCGCACUCACAUUUAAAUAACACAUUUCUGUUCCCUGUAACAGAAAGAUUCUUAUUUUUAAACACACAGUAGCUUAAUACGGUUUUAAACUAGACAUGUCUCGGGACCGGUUCAGAAACCGCGGUGGGUUUCAGCAGAGAGGCCGCGGCGGUGGAGGAGGAAUCAGGGGCGGUAUGGGCAACCCGAACUAUCGCAACCAGAACCAGCAUUCCUUCCAGAACAGAGGGCCUCAGUUGUCUACUGCUGGGCCGUUUAAACCCAAUCAGGCUAACCAGACCACCCCGCAGAAGCAGGAUGGAGCAAAUGCGACCACAAAGCCUGAGGUGAAGACUCCUCCACCGCAGCAGCAGCAGCAGAACCAGCCGCAACAACAGCAGCAGAAUCAACAACAGCAGCAGAAUCAACAACAGAAAACGCCGCAGCAGAAUCAGCAACCAAAACCACCACAACAACAGAACCAGAAUCAGCAACCGAAACCCCAGCAGCAGAACCAGCAACCAGCUCAGAACAAAGGACCUUCACCAACCCAGCAACCCCCACAGCAGCAGCAGAAACAGCAGCCACCCCCACAGCAGCAGCAGAAACAGCAGCCACCACCACCACCACCACCACCACCACAGCUCCAGUCUCCUCCAUCGAAAAAUAGCACCCCAAAAACUGAUCCUAAAACCCCGCAGAAUCAGAACCAACAACGCUCGAAUCUACAUAAACCACCGAACAGUGCACAUAAACCUAAUGACCGGCCUCCUCAGACUCAUCAAACUGACGACAAGAAUGCGGGACAACAACAGGAGUUUAAGGCAUCACUUUCGAUGCUUCUCAAACCUGGUGAGAAGAUGUACACCCAACGCUGCCGCUUGUUCAUCGGCAACUUGCCCAACGACAUCAGUGACGCAGAGUUCAGAAAAUUGUUUGCCAAGUACGGAGAGCCCAGUGAGACCUUCAUUAAUCAAGGGAAGGGAUUCGGAUUCAUCCGACUGGAGUCUCGUGCUCUGGCAGAGAUUGCAAAAGCUGAAUUGGACGACACCCCCAUGAAAGGCAGACCUCUCAGGGUCCGCUUUGCUACCCACUCUGCUGCACUGUCUGUGCGCAACCUGUCCCCAUUUGUCUCCAACGAGCUGCUGGAGGAAGCCUUUUCCCAGUUCGGACUUGUUGAGAGGGCAGUAGUUAUUGUGGACGACCGUGGACGCUCAACUGGGAAGGGCAUUGUUGAGUUUGCUACCAAGUCAGCUGCAAGAAAGGCGAUUGACCGGAUCAACGAUGGAGUGUUCCUGCUCACCUCGUCACCCCGCCCAGUUGUUGUUGAGCCUUUGGAACAGUUUGAUGAUGAAGAUGGUCUUCCAGAAAAACUUGCACAGAAGAACCCAAACUAUCAGAAAGAACGAGAGCAGCCACCUCGUUUUGCCAGACCAGGCACCUUUGAGUUUGAAUACUCCCAGCGCUGGAAGUCUCUUGAUGACAUGGAGAAACAGCAGAGGCAGCAAGUGGAGAAAAAUAUCAAUGAAGCUCGUGAAAAGCUGGAGACAGAGAUGGAGGACGCGUACCACGAUCAUCAAGCCAACAUGCUCCGUCAGGAUCUGCUCAGGCGGCAAGAGGAGCUGCGCCGCAUGGAAGAGCAGCAUAAGCAAGAAAUGCAAAAACGCAAGGAGAUGCAGAUCAGGUACACCCCACCCCCGUUUCUGCUCAUGCAAGAGGAGGAGCGCCGCAGACGGGACGAGGAAUUGUUGCGCCAAAGGGAAAUCGAAGAACAGAUAAGGCGUAAGCGGGAAGAGUCCUACAGGAUGGGUGGAUUCAUGGACAAUAGGGAUCGGGCAAUGGCCGGUGGUCUUGGACUGGCAGAUAUGCCUUUUGGCUCCCCCACCCAGAACUUCCCAUUUGCUAGAAUGGGCUUUGAUGGUCAGCAGGGACUCGGUGGAGCAGUGCCUGGCGGAAUGGGCCCCAACGAAAUGGGUCCUCGAGUUAUUGGUGGAGGCUGAGUGCUGCACCUUUGGAGCUAAGAUCAUUGGAUAUCAGUAAUCUAUUGGUGGAUCCAAAUAGAGGAACAAUGACCGAUCUCUAAAGAAGCCUUAAGACCUGAACAGAGUACAGGAUGUUGUGGAGAAACUCUGUCCAUUUGCUCACCGGGAGUCUUGAGUCGACUUGACUGCACUUCAUAAUCACGAUCCAGUAGGUUUUCAGAAUGAAGUCCAGGUUGAAGAAUCUUCAGAUGUAGAGUGGCUGAAUGAAACGGUGAAGAGGGAUGUGAGGAGUUCUGCAGCCGACUUAAUUACAGAUUUUCAUGUGUGUUUAUAAUUUCCUUCUGCUUCAGUGUUACACUAUAUGGCCAGAGCAAAGCGGAAUCAUGUUGCAGGAAGCCGCCUUAAAGGAGUGGAGUCUGGUGUGGAUUGGGAAUGGGAAUUUGUACUCAUUCAAUAAAAAAAAAAAGAAUAAAAAAAAUCAUUGGUCAGACAUGUUGGAUGAAAGACCUGUUAUCUGUCGGACUGUUGUGUCUUUUUAGCCAUAUAGUGCAUCACAAAACCUGAAGAUCACAUGCUCGUGUUACUGUUGUGAUAUUUUAGAAGACUUGUGUUUCUCGUUGAAGACUGACCUGUGUGUAUCUUGGCAACAUGUGGAGUGUUGUGAGGGAUUAAGUGUAAGGGUUUACGUUUCACUCGUUUUAUCACUGUUGGAAAUCUCUGGCUUGUCGGUGCUUCUGAUUGUUUUGGACGGCAAGCUGACAGCGCACAACACACGUGACCGUGAACGGAACUGUUUCUGUCUGACCGUCUAGCUGAUCAGUUUCUGAACUGUCAAAACUUCAAGUUUGUUUCUCCUGUAUGUGUCAAAUUACAUUUAUAACACUAAUAAAUGUUCUAUUUAAAGCUU